rnacentral:rRNA from 1 species
UACGAAGGGGGCUAGCGUUGUUCGGAGUUACUGGGCGUAAAGCGCACGUAGGCGGAUUGGUCAGUUAGGGGUGAAAUCCCAGGGCUCAACCCUGGAACUGCCUUUAAUACUGCCAAUCUAGAGUUCGAGAGAGGUGAGUGGAAUUCCGAGUGUAGAGGUGAAAUUCGUAGAUAUUCGGAGGAACACCAGUGGCGAAGGCGGCUCACUGGCUCGACACUGACGCUGAGGUGCGAAAGCGUGGGGAGCAAACAGG